rnacentral:rRNA from 1 species
AUACGGAGGGUGCGAGCGUUAAUCGGAAUUACUGGGCGUAAAGCGCGCGUAGGCGGUUUGUUAAGUCGGAUGUGAAAUCCCCGGGCUCAACCUGGGACCUGCAUCCGAUACUGGCAGGCUAGAGUCUGGUAGAGGGGGGUAGAAUUCCUGGUGUAGCGGUGAAAUGCGUAGAUAUCAGGAGGAGUACCAGUGGCGAAGGCGGCCCCCUGGACUGAGACUGACGCUGAGGUGCGAAAGCGUGGGGAGCAAACAGGAUUAGAAACCCUAGUAGUCC